rnacentral:lncRNA from 1 species
GUUGCUCUGGUAUGUGCCACCGGUUACUGAAACACCAUUAACAAUGGAGAAACGGAUGUACGGCAAAGUCCUGUUCCAAAUGAACAUCUGAAGGUUAAAGGGGGGAUCCAUGCUGCAAGAGAUAUCACCGGUUGAUGGAUCAUCAGGGCCCUUCCAAGCAAAGAAGCGUGUUGCCGCCGACUGUGCUUUGUAGCUCAGGAUAAGCCUCAUGGUUGGAAGCGUUGUGUCGGUCGGGUGAUCAAAGCUUUGCCAUAUGUCCCUGCCGUUUGGUAACCGAAGGACAAAGUUUCCGGAGUUGAGUAUUACCGCAAAAGCUCCAGCACCUCCCCUUGUGUUGUUCGUCUUCCAAAUACUUCGGCCUUGGGAAUCUGAUAACAUUAACUCUGAAUUGUUGGUGAUGGCGAGCUUCGCUGAUGAAGGGGAGUUGAUUGGGUUGUCACGGUUGGCGACCCACACCACGGUGCGCUCUGGGAUACUAUUGUACCAAAUUCCGAUGUAUAACUUGCGACUCGAAUUGGUUGGGGAGAAGAAACCAAGAGCAAAGUCCCCGCCCUCUGAAACGAGCUUGUCUUUGAGGAAGAGUGGCUUUGCUUGUGUUAGCUGGUCGUUGGAUUGGCAGAGAGAACUAAAGAAUACGAGGAUGAAGAUGGGAAUAUACACCAUAUCCAUCAUGAGGCCUCUGCUCCUCGUUGGCCGAUGAACUACUAUGAAGCAGUGUGAAGAACAUGGCGUGUAGUAUGUAUAUGAAGAAUAAAAGUUGGACCGGAGAUGUGUGGAACUGGUUUUUCUGUCUGACAAAUCAAAACGUGGCUUUCAUCAAGCGUAAGGAUGAUGGCGAACCCUUAUUCAGAGACUUAACAGAUGAAGGAGCUAGAGAACCUAUACUAACAACGAACCAACGAGCAGGUCGGACUAGCAUCAGUUUAGUGGUAGGUAACUCAAAUGGUAUCCGACGACUUUGUGGUCAAGAACGUGGUCCGGGAAGUCAAAGGUGGCUUCUUGGAAGAUCCCAAGUCCAAGAUACGCGCACGGGAUUCCAAGUCCAAAUAGACUGGCAACACCUUCCUUGCAGAUCUCCACAAACGCCUAGACAGCCAAGCCGGUGACCACAUUGAUCGUCUCCGACUACGACGACUUCGUUGGUCACGCGUCGUGGCCGCACGGGCAGGGAUCGGGCAAGCGGCCAGGCGCGCCGCACUGGAACGGCUUACAGGUAGCAAGAUUAUGCUGACGCUGGAUGCCGGAGAACACCGAAUUCAGUAGGCCGUACAACGAUUAUUAGAAGACAUGGACCGCGCUGGAUACGUUCUUGGAUCCUUUGGUCUCUCUCGAUCGGGUGCGCGCAUCGCUUUAUUCGGCCCCUGCCCCGGUGCCAACCAGGCCGCGGUCAGGUCGGCGGUGGCAAAGUGGCAGUGUGGGCAUGCUUUCUGGUCUGCUUUAAUCAGCCGGAGGCUGGAACUGUAAUACUAUUAGUGAAUGAAUAUUGGGUACAAAACUCGAGCGGAGACGCAGUGCCGGGAGCCAGACAAGCAACAGCGCCUGAAGGCUAGAGCUGCCGUCACGCGCCUGUGCGGUGCGCGGCCAUGCCUUGCGCGUCUUCGCCGGCGAGCAACUGAAGAGAAAGGUGGACCGCCUCAUUGGGAAUUAAAAUGCAUUGUCUGGAAUGAAUACCAUUGGUACCACUCACUACAAUAUCAUUCACAAAUUUUUAUCCGUCCAAUCAAAUCCAGUGUUACACACAUGAUAAGCUCACAGCCACCUAACAAGAAGAAAUUCACUUGUCCAUACACAGUUUUGCAAUGAAUAAUUCAGGUGGGGUUUGUGCUCUCCAGAGACGUAAAAGAAGAAAGCAUCUAGCGGCCCUCUAGUGUAGUGAGGUUCAUGUCAUUUAUGGACGGUUCCCUGCUAUCACCGGACUUUCCAGGUUCGUAGUCCCCAAGUGCAAAAUAUACAGGUUGCUUCGGUGUUGGAAGUGAGGUCGUUUUGUUCUCUAGCAUGAACACAACCUCCGACAUGAGUGGCCUGCAGUUCGGCCUGUCUUGAACACACAAGAGUGCUAUGUGGAUGCAUCGUGAAACUUCAUCGAGGGAGCAAUCCUUCACUACAGAUGAGUCCACCAAAUCUUCUAUUGUCCCAUCUUUCCACAAGUUCCAUGCCUGAACAUUGACAUAAUUUCACAGUCAGCGCAUAUUUUGUUUCCUGUGUGUACUGUUGCCGUUCUGAAUUCUGAGAAUCUCCCAGUACUUACAUAUGCUAUAAGGUUAGGAAAAUCCAUGAUAAGAUGUGGUGAGCUGAUCUUUAAACCACUUACAAUCUCCAACAUUAGAACACCAAAGCUGUAGGUGUCAGACUUUACUGAAAACGUACCUUCCAUCGCAUAUUCAGGAGACAUGUAACCACUGUGCAUGCAAAUGAUUUUACCAAAAGGAUUGCAUAUUUUUGUAACUGUAAGGAAAUCAAAUCUAUCUGAAAAGUUGGCAGUGCAGGAGUCACUUACUAUGUUCCUACAACUCGGUUAGUAUUUGCUUGGAGCUGGUCACCACAGAAUAUCCUAGCCAUGCCAAAAUCUGAUAUCUUUGGGCUCAUCUCCUUAUCUAACAAGAUGUUGCUUGCUUUCAGAUCUCUAUGGAUUAUAGUUAACCUUGAGUCCUGAUGGAGAUACAUCAUUCCUCUAGCGACCCCCUGGAUUAUCUUGAACCUUGUCAGCCACUGAAGCACUGAUUUUCUUGUAGCGUCUAAUAAGAAUAGCAGGAAACAAAGAAUGUCAGAAGGGUAUGUGCACAUUUACUUGUUGGAUUUUUUUAAAGAAACACUUAUCAGUUUUUAUUAACAAUAUGAACAUUUUGAAAUAGGAUGUACCAAAGAGGAAGUAAUCCAAGCUUUUGUUGGGCAAGUACUCAUAAACUAACAGCUUCUCAUCUUCAUGAAUACAACAACCAAUAAGCUUAACUAGGUUCUUGUGCUGCAACUUUGCAAUCAAGACUACUUCAUUUCUGAACUCCUCUGUCCCUUGCCCAGAACCCUUGCUAAGUCUCUUGAUGGCUACUUCCUUGGUGCCUUCCAACAUUCCCUACAAUUUCAUCAUGCAGAUAUUCAGAUUUUUUUAUUUCUGAUAAUAUAGUUUUCAAGGUAAAACUUUUUACUAGUACCUUAUAUACUUUGCCAAAACCUCCUUGCCCAAGCAUAUUGCAAUCAGAGAAAUUGUCCGUUGAUGUGACGAUGUUUUCAAAGCUAAUAAAUGGGAACUCUAUAUUCUUAUCCCCAGCUUCAUCCGCGGAAUUCAAGUAGUCCAGCAUUAUUCUCUUCUGAACUUUCUUCUUUUGGCGUUCGCCUGGUGGUAGAAACUAGAAACAUCAAUGGAUUCCUUUUUUUCCUUUCCUCAUCACUUACACGGUAAAGUAGCAUGAGGGUUCUUUUCUCUGUACCUCUUCUUUUACAUGUGCAGACGAGGGCUCCGAAUGCGACUAGCAGCAGACAUGCUGUAAUUGGGAGUAAAAUCUUCAGCAAAUUGCUCUUCUUUUGAACUGUGCACGGAAAUGUAUCCUGUCAGAAUUUUUUUUUUGAAAGAACAGGAGGGGGCGCACCCCUACUGAUUAAUAUAUUGAAAGGAAAAGGAGAUUACAAAGAGUUCACGAUUACAAAUCAGAAAGAAAGGAAGUCUAAAAACGACUGAGCAAAACUAACAGAAAGAAGGGAAAGCAAAGAACAACUUCGUAUUACAAGUCAUCUAGCCAUGCUUCCAUCGAAGGCAUAAAGCGUCUCUUGCAAUUGUGUGAGUGUACUUUUUUUAUGUAAUGUGUGGGUUUACUAUGCACAGGGUUCCAUAGCUGAUCUAUGAAAUCUUUACCUCUAAAAGAUGGGCCUGAGGAAACCUAAUUAUCACCCAAACAGAUAUCCCGGAUAUAGAGCACAAACGAAAUGAGAGCCCCCCCCCCUCCCCAGCGCCAGCCCCCCUCGUUCCGCCGCCGCCGCGCCGCCCACCGUUGCCGGCGUCAACCCAAGCCUACCUCCGCGGAGCCCCACCGAAGCCGACCCUCAACCAGAACCCACGACCCCGACCCCCACUAUCCCCAUCCUCAACGAGAGCCUGGGAGCAGUUCGCCAAUGGCUCCCCACCGCCACCUCCGCGGUUCCACCGACGGCCGCCGCCCGAGGUCGAUUGGGUGCCGGACUCGCCGGAUCCGCGAGUCACCUCGCCGGAUCUGAAGAUCCCCCUACAGGAUCUGCUACCUGCUGGCUCCAGGCUCCCCCCCAUCGCGACGGACGGGACACGGUCCUAUGCGGAGGUCGUCAGAGGGAGAGGAAGAGUCUUCAAUACUCCAGCUGCCCGCGCACCUCUACGCCGCCAUGGUGACGACAGCUCUACUACCCAUGGGAGAUGGAGUAAAUCCGACGACAAGACAACCACGCGGCGCAAUCAAGACACCACGCCAGUGACUCCGCCCCCCAGACCUCCGUACGGCGGUGUAAUGGGAACAUUGCAGCACAAUCCGGAUCUCCAUGCCUGGCAAACUGUGAAGAGUCGUCGGAUGCGGCGGCAAGCGCGGCCCGAGACGUCGCGACGCGACGGCGGACAUGACCGGAGCUGCAGAGACCAUUCAAGACGGCCAGCAAGCCGGGCUUUGCUCGACUUUAAACGGGCAACACAGGGCCGCUGCUUCCGCUGCCUCGCCCACAACCACCUCACCUCUGCGUGCCGCGACCCGGUGCGCUGCUUCCGGUGCCGGCGCUUCGAGCACAGGGAGCGCGAGUGCAGAGCAGGGCGGCAGCAACCUCGCCGGAGAUCUGAGCUCCAGGGACCUCCACGCACACCCACACCACCUGAAAAGCCAAGCGACGCCACUCCCGACCACCGCCCGCCGCCUAACAACUCCAAAUCUCCAACUCAUCGCCGCCACUCCAAUCGCCGCCACCCCUUCCCGGAGCCCCACCAACUACAACCAAGAGCCGCCACAACCAAAAUGGCCAUAGGCGACCCGAACACACGGCCGGAAGUUGAGACGGUGUUCGUCUCCACAACUUUCCACCUUGAGCAUGACGCACGGGACUGGGAAGCCUGUGCGCUUGUCCCGUGGGCACUGCAUCUGCCGCCGGAUGCCGGCGCCAGGGACAUUGCCGCCCUCCUCACCAGAGAGCUCCAUCUGCGGCCCGGUGAUGUUGCCGUCACCCUCCACCAGCCCGAGCCGUACCUCAUCAGGUUCGAGCAAGCUGAACAUGCGGCGGAGGCGCGACGGCGGGGAAGAUUCACAGGAGCCGGCAUCGACAUCUGCCUCCGCACCUGGAGAAGCCUCACCCACACCCUCGGAUUCCGCAUCUUCUACAGAGUUCGACUCUGCCUCGACGGAAUCCCAGCCCACGCUUGGACACCGGAGAUCGUCGAGCGCGUCAUCGGCCACAAGUGCGCCCUGCAGCACAUCGUCACCGAUCUCCUUCAACCGGCGGACUCCAGACACAUUGAGCUGUGGGCUUGGACAGUCGAUCCAAGCGAAAUCCCGAAGAAGGUAUGGCUUGCAUUCACUCAUAACCCAACAGCAAGAUCAUCUACCUUUGCAGUCUCGGCCGAGCCCUCGCAGCUGCCCUGGCAGCAAGGGACUCGGUAUGAGGUCUUCAUCCACUUGCCCCUUCUGGAGGACUACUCGGCGGCGGCACAGGAUCUCCAGUAGGCCAUCGACAAUCCGCAGAGCAUCAUCCCCAUCAGGCGUCGCUAUGAGUGGCGCUACGGGCUUGUUGACGGUGCGCCCUCUGAUGCACGGUCGCGCUUCCUGGCGCAACUUCCUCGACCGCCGCGUGAACACCCCAGCGCGGACCCAAGCGGGGGACGGCGAGCUCCUGCGGCCGGCUGCAGAACAGAGCAUGGCGACCGACCUGUGGCUGAUGCUGGGGAAGGCGAACGGCGGCGCGACACCUCCACCCAUCAAGAUCAACGCACCAGAGAAGACCGCCCCAGGCGUCGGCCGGCGAGGCAGCGCUGUGAUGAUCGGCCAUUCACCUGGCCGUCCCGCCACGACGGCGAUGACGACGACCACGAAAGCGACUACGAGCACCCAGGACAGGGGCGGCACGUCGACUCCGACUACUGGGGGUGCGCGGGAACGGUACACCGUGACCGCACACGCUCCCCCCCACGGCACAACUAUGCGCCUCUGCAGGGACGGCGACAUGACGCCGGCACACUGGGGCUCGCCAGCCUAGCUCCAUCCCAGCUUCAAGCACUCUUCACGGCGCAGGCGGCAACCUUGAAGAACUACAUCCAGAGCCAGGUAAUUGAGGCACCCCCCUCGACUGACAUCUCCACCUUGGAUGCCAGGACACGCUUCUGGCACGCCGGCGCCGAUGAGUACAUCCGCAAGGCGUGCCGGCUUGCCGACCGGCUCGGCAUCGAGGAGGCGGCGCCGGGGGAGAAAGCCUGGUCCGAUCCAGUCCCACUGCCGCAGGUCUUCAACACACUUCGCACGGCGCUGCUGCAGGAACCGGCGGCCUCUCCGACAGUUGAAGAAGUUAGCCGGGCCCUAGAUGCGCUGGGCGUUCAGGCCGGCUGGGAUCGCCAGCCUAAGCAGGCCGCGGCCCAGCCAGGCAGUUCGCCUGGCAGGGAGGCCCAACAGGCGACGCCUGACGCUCCGACAGUUGAGGACGUCAGCUGGGCCCUCGAUGCGCUGGCUGUUGAGGCCGGAUAGGUUCGCCAGCCUAAGCAGGCCGCGGCCCAGCCAGGCAGCUCGCCUGGCAGGGAGGCCCAACAGGCGACGUCUACCGCACCAGCCCAAUGUGAGGGCCCAUCUCCACCAGAGCUAGAGCACCUGAGCUACAACUUAGCCCAUAAACUAAACACUGAGCAAGCCAUUGUGGUCCAUCAAAUGAAAUCAACACCGAUCCAUUACCACCGCAGAUCAAGGCCGGCCCAUACCAUAACGCCGGAACGGCCCAACCCAAAUCAGUCACCCCCAACCGCGCCACUGAUCAAGCUAGCGCCACAAAUUGACAACCUUUUUGCAACACCGCCGCCACCAGCCAUAAAGCAAGCCCCACCGCAACGCGCGCGAAAAGGUCGCACCUUCGACAUGACUAAAGUUCGGCGGAGUGCACGCCUAGCUAAAAAACCAGCUCUGCCAGCUGUAGAGCGCGCACAGCGUAACCUUUGCAAGAAACUAGGUGUUGACACUGAUGAGAUGAUGCCAAUGGAACAGGUUUUGCAGGACUUCAUUAACAUGUUUCAGGGGCCACUGCCGGACUACAUCAUAUCUGCCAUGACCGUCCUCUUCGACCUCGACGACGAAGCGGCGGACCAAGCAAACGAAGCACUUCUGCAGAUGGCAGGCGCUGAUGUGGGUGACCUUCAGGAGAUGGACCAUGCGGCUGCAUGACCUUCUGUCGCGGCAACUUCGUCAAGCGUCUAUUUACCAGUUUAUGUAUCGCUACUGUUAUGUACCUUAUAAUUAUGUUCCUCACCCUGCUGGCUGCGACCUUCGGGGAGGACUCCACUCACGCCCUGCUGGCUGCGACCUUCGGGCGAAAACAGUGAACGACACACUAUGCCCCGCCCACGACAAACCUAAAACGACUACGCCUUUAAUCACUACUACAGAAUGCGCCAAUGAACAGGAGUCAUCAACGCCGGCAACUCAGAACACAGAGAAGCACAUCCACGGAGUUACUAACUUACGAGUCCCACUGGCAUGGCUGCAUCAAUUGCUACAGAAAAUGCACUUCGGCCACUCCGCCUUUGCGCGCCAAAAAGUUACCUUCCAUGAGUAGCAAUUUUCAAAUAAUGAGCUGGAACGUGAGAGGGUUAAACGCUCCGGCAAGAUGUCUCACAGUUCGCGAAACCAUUGCGGCCACAGCAUGCCGCAUUAUAUGUCUGCAGGAAACAAAAUUACAAAGUAUUGAUAAGACGCUAGCAAACCUACUAGGGGGACCUCGCUUAGCUAAUUUCACAUAUCAAGCGGCUUCAGGUACAAAAGGUGGUAUACUACUACUCUGGGACGAACGAGUUUUUGACAUACAGGACAUCCAAACAAGUCGGUUUUUCAUCUCAGCAACAACAAUAGUUAAGCACAGUAACGUUCGGUUCCAACUCACGACGGUAUACGGCCCAACAUGGCACUCAGCAAAGCCUGCAUUCCUACGCCAACUGCGAACAAUGGCGCCCGACGACACCACUCCAUGGCUAAUACUGGGCGAUUUUAACUUAAUCUACAGCGCAAGAGACAAGAACAAUAACAACUUAAAUCAGAAGCUUAUGAGAAUAUUCAGAUCAACACUGAAUUAUUGCGGACUUAAAGAAAUUCACCUACAAAACAGACGAUUUACCUGGAGCAAUGCAAGACAUCAGCCGACGCUAACGCGAAUCGAUAGAGUUUUCUGCAACGCAUCUUGGGAUAUAAAAUUUGAUGAUCACGUCCUUCACCCCUUAUCUUCUUCGUACUCGGACCACUGUCCACUGCUACUCGCGCAACAUUCGGGACCUCGCAAACCGACACCAUUCCGAUUCGAAAAUUUUUGGACGCGGCUACCAGAUUCUAUGAGACCGUAGCCAAAGAAUGGUCAAAGCCGACUACCCAUACUGAGCCGUUCCAUAGACUGGGCUGUAAACUGCGCAACACUGCCCGCGCACUAAGAUCCUGGAGCCGAACGCACGUCUCCGACGCCCGUUUAAAACUGCAUAUGGCACAAGAAGUCAUCCUGCGCCUUGAUGAAGCUGAGGAAGCAAGAACGCUCACGGAACCAGAACACAACAUACGAAGCAAACUCAAAACGCGACUUCUGGGAUGGGCGGCCGUAGAGAAAAUGCGAAGGAAGCAGUGGUCCAGGAUAACCUACCUGCGAGAAGGUGAUGCGAAUACUAAGUUUUUCCACCUCAAGGCAAAUGGGAGGAGGCGGAAAAACUUCAUCCAACGACUGAAGAGGGGAAAUAACUGGGCAGUAACGCACUUACAAAAACAGCAAAUCGUCCAAGACCACUUCGACAACGUGAUGUCCGCUCCUCCUACUCACACCAGAACCUUCAACUGGGACAAGCUACAUUUCCCAGUAGUGGAUCUAGCCGGAAUUGACAACCCUUUUUCAGAUAAGGAAAUACAAAAUGCAAUAACUGCCCUACCCAAAGAUAAAGCGCCAGGCCCAGAUGGCUUCACUGGAUUGUUCUUUAAGUCAUGCUGGGAUAUCAUCAAAGGAGACGUUAUUGCGGCAGUAAAUGCUUUCCAUGCUGGGAGAUGCAAUGACUUAAACCUACUUAACACAGCAGCCAUUGUCUUGGUACCCAAAAAGGAUGGAGCUGAAACCAUAAGUGACUUCAGACCGAUCAGCCUUAUACAUGCAAUAGCAAAGAUCAUUACCAAAGUGCUGGCAACUAGGCUUCAGCCCUACAUGGACAAAUUGAUUUCGCCAAGCCAAAGUGCCUUCAUCAAAGGGCGAAGCAUCCACGAUAAUUUCCUGUAUGUUCGGAACAUGGCAAGAAGGUUUCACAGGCACGGAACGCCGACACUGCUAAUGAAGCUGGACAUCUCAAAGGCUUUUGACUCCGUUCGCUGGGACUACCUGCUUGAAUUACUGCAACAUAGAGGAUUUUCUGCACGAUGGCGUAACUGGAUCACGGCAUUACUGGUCACAUCAACCUCCAAAGUCCUAAUAAAUGGAAUUCCAUCCGACGCAAUUGUGCAUGGGCGAGGCCUACGACAAGGAGACCCCCUCUCUCCCUUCCUUUUCAUCCUGGCGAUAGACCCACUGUACCAAUUAAUACACACGGCGACAGGAAUGGGAUUACUUAAAAAACUAGGCGGACGCACGCCGCGCACUAGCAUCUCUAUGUACGCCGAUGAUGCGGCUAUCUUCAUAAAACCAACAAAGGAAGAUGUCACAAAUAUCACAAAACUCCUACAUUUAUUCGGAGAGGCCACAGGACUCCACACAAAUCUGGAAAAGAUAGCAGUGGCUCCCAUCAGCUGCAAUAAUGUAGACCUUGACGAAAUCCUAUCCGAAUGGCCAAUCACUCGCACCGGCUUCCCAUUAAAAUACCUCGGAUUACCACUUGCGAUACGGCGCUUAAGGAAAGUUGACUUCCAACCCCUGAUAGACAAGGCAGCUAAAAAACUAUCUGGGUGGCAAAAUCGCAACAUCACACAAGCAGGACGAGUCUGCCUCGCCAAAGCUGUGCUUUCUGCGCAACCUUUAUAUCUACUAACUGUAUUAAAACCAUCAAGCGAAGUCCUGGAAGAGCUAGAUAAAAUAAGGAAGCGAUUCAUCUGGGCCGGAGACAGUUUGCUAACAGGGGGCAAGUGCAAGGUCAACUGGAUCAAAACCUGCUUACCCAAAGAAAAUGGCAGACUAGGAGUGCUGAACCUUCAUAAUUUUGCUAGAGCACUGCGACUACGAUGGAUCUGGCAUGAGUGGGAGUCCCCAGGGAAAACAUGGAUUGGACUGGACAUCCCAUGCGACGACUCUGAUCAACGCUUAUUCGCGGCUUGCACAGUUAUCACAGUGGGAAAUGGACGCAAAGCAAGCUUCUGGCACUCAGCUUGGGGAAGGGGUACCCGCCCGAAGGACAUUGCACCCAACAUAUACAAGCUAUCCAGGGGGAAGCACAAAACUCUUGCAGAGGCAUUACACAACAAUAAAUGGGUGACAGACAUAAACAUCCACGCCGGCCUAACAACGCAACACUUACAAGAAUUCAUCAUACUAUGGCGACUAGUAGCGACAGUGAACCUCCAAGCACAACAAGAGGACACACUAAGCUGGAAAUUCACAAAAAAUGGACAAUACUCAGCGGCAUCAGCGUACAAGGCACAGUUCUUCGGAUCCACUUAUGCACCGCACAGUAAAACAAUAUGGAAAUGCUGGGCACCACCGAAAUGCAAAUUUUUCGCCUGGCUGAUAUUACAGGACCGGGUUUGGACAGCUGAUCGGCUGGCGCGCAGAGGCUGGCCGCAAUCACCAAAUUGCCCUCUAUGCCGAGUACAUCAGGAGACAGCACAUCAUCUCCUGGCACAAUGCAGAUACACCAAGCGAAUAUGGAGUCUUAUAGCCACCUGGGCCUCGCAACCCAGUCUACACCCUUCGGAAUGGCCCCCAUCUGACAAUGCUCUUGAGUGGUGGAUAAAUAUGACUACAAGGACUGAAGCUCCUCGGCAAGGAGCUUGCUCUAUGGGCCUGCUGGUAAUAUGGGAAAUUUGGAAGGAACGCAAUCGACGAAUAUUCAACCAUCAAGGGAUGACCGCAACCUCCCUGCUGGCACAGAUCAAAGCGGAAGCAGACACAUGGAUUUUAGCAGGGGCGAGAACACUAGCGUUGUUAUUAUCUAGAGAGUAGUCGCGAUACAAAUACAAACGGAAACUUUGUAUCUCUCCUGUAACAAUCUGUAAUCUGUAAUUAUCUACUCUCUCAAUGAAAUAGGCACUAUCCCGUGCCCAUUCGUUCAAAAAAAAAAACAGAUAUCCCGUGGAUAUUACUGAUUGGGCUUUUGAUAUCAUGGUAAGAUCAGUCUAGUUGUAUCCAGCUAAACUUCUUCUUCUUUUUCUUUUUGCUACUUUGUUGGAGUCCAAACAAACACAAAGACAUAUGGUAUACUGUUAUGGCUUAUUUGAUGUCAAAUAGUUAUGUUUCAAAAUUCAUUUAGAGCCUGCUGUGAUUUUAGGGCUUGUUGAGAAAGAGGAUACUGGAAAAAAUACUCAUUGGGAUUUCUUCUAAAACAUUUUGGAGCAUUCUCAAACUUACUAGCAUCUCACAAAUUAACAGGCCUUAGAGCGGCCCGUGUUGACUGAUGAUCUGGAAUAUUGACACACUGAGCACAAAUGUCACUUCAUGGAAAAGAAAUUAAGAUGAGAUGUACUGGAACGUGCAUACCAGGAGAUUCGCCAAGCCUGAUGUACAAGUUCUCUGCAAAGCUGGCCUUCUCCAUGUCGAUGAGAUCCCCGGUCCAAACCAAACACCUCGAUGUGUCGCCCGUAAUGCCAUCAUUGCUUAGGUUGGCGUAGGCAUAUGCCACACACGAGCAAUUUCUCGUGCACUCGGAUGCACACUCGUCCAAGCUUCUAUUCCUAAUGUGCAAGAAUUUGUCAGGGACCUUCAUAUUAGGCAUGGUCGUGAAAUAGUUCUCCUUUCCACAUCUUAGAGCUUCCUUUCGCUUGCAUCCUCUGGAGAAGUUGAGACUGUCUAAGAGCUCGAACCCAUCAGGGCACCGGCAUGUUGGGGCAGCAGUCAUGUCGCAGUAACCGAACGGGCCACACGAGGCAUAGAGGUCACAGCCUCUGGGGCUAUAAGAAGCAAGUGUCCACGACAAGGUGGUGUUGUUCCAGCUCAGGAGGCUCAAGUUGCCUCUGUAGUCAAGCAAGAUGCGUGUGUAGGGUGAUCCAUCAGAGACUGUGUAGGAGAAGUAGAACCCAUCCCCCCUGUAGUACAGAAGCUGGGACAUGACAGAGGUAGUGUUGCUCUGGUACGUGCCGCCGGAUACUGACACUUCGUUAAUAACCUCGGGGCGCUUGUACGGCAGACUCCCCUUCCAGAUGAAGAUUUGAAGGUUCGAGCUGGGAUCCAUGCCUACGGAGAAGUCCCCACUAGAUGGAUCAUCAGGACCCUUCCAAGCAACGAGGCGUCCAAACACCUGUGCCUUGUAGCUCAGCAAGAUCCUCGUGUUUGGAAGUAUGGUGUCGGUGGGAUGAUCCAUGCUUUGCCAUAUGUCUGUGCCGUUGAGCAACCGGAGCACAAAGUUACCUGUGUCGAGUAGAACCGCGACAGCUCCAGGACCUCCAGUGGUGGUGGUGUUCGCCGUCAUCCAAACAGUGCGGCCAUCGGAGUCGAACAACACCAGCUCUGAAGUAUUGGUGACUGUGAGCUUCACCAAUGAAGAGUUGGAGAUUGGGCUGUCACGAUUGGCGACCCACACGACGGUGCGCUCUGGGUCGGGGAUGUUGUGGUACCAGAUUCCAAGGUAUAAACUCCUGCUGGAGUUGGUUGGGGAGAAAAAGCCGAGAGCAAAGACUCGCCCCUCAGAGAUGAGCAUGUUGCCAGGGGAGAGUGAGGUUGCUUGUGUUAGCCGGUCGUUGGACUUGGACUCGCAGAAAGAACUCAGGAUCAAGAAUAGGAGGAAGAAAACAUGAAGGUUGGCCAUGUCCAUUAGCUUCUCUCCUGGUUAUUGGUUGCCUCUGAAGUGUGAAGACAGUAGCAUAUAGCCAUGGAGUAGUUGGACCGGGAGAAAUAGAUGCAUACUUUGGAGUUUGGAUUAUCUUCCUGACUAAAGGCGUCAAAUCAAAACGUGGCACUCGCAUGUUUAAGACGCUGAUAACUGUAGGACGGAAAAGUCUGCAAUAAUUCAAUCCCGUCCCCGUGAGACUGAGGGGGUGUUUGGGAGUAGGGGAAUUUUAAUGUUUGGACACUAAUUAGGAGUAUUAAACCUAGACUAAUUAUAAAACUAAUUACACAACCCCUAGGCUAAAUCACGAGACGAAUCUAUUGAGCCUAAUUAGUCCAUAAUUUGACAAUAUGAUGCUACAUUAACCAUUCGCUAAUGAUGGAUUAAUUAGGCUCAAUAGAUUCGUCUCGUGAUUUAGCCUAGGAGUUCUGCUAUUAGUUUUGUAAUUAGUUCAUAUUUAGUCUUCCUAAUUAGCAUCCGAGUAUCCGAUCUCAAACACCUCCUGAUACUUCAACGCACUACCUAAUGCUAUAAUUCAUAACGUGAUAAGCAAUUCGUCCUCAUACUCAUAACAAUUCAAUUUGAAGCUCGAAACAAUUCAACCUUGGAGCAUGCAUGCAUAUGACCAGUCACGUGCCAUCCUUGGUAACGUGGUGUUGGAGGCCGUGUAGUUCUGAUUACCCACUUCCAUCACUUGAAAAGCAUGGAUUUGAGUUUGACCCGUGCGCAAAAUGGUUGGAUUUCUAUAUUUUUGAAAGACCCAUCACUACCUAGCUAAUGAAAAGGUGCUUGGCUUGCUAUCUUUUUUUUUAAGGGCUUGCUACACUAUUUUGUUCAGUUUCCUCGGGCUGUACAAAGAUCUGAACAUCAGUGGGCCACAAAUGCUCAAGAGAUGGGUCGUGCUGGACACGUUGUGGGCCGGGACACUUUAGUUUAGUCUCAGAAGCGAGAGCAGGUUUUAGGCCCAAAUAAGUGGAGCCAACGUCACCGCGGCGGCGGCGAGGACGACGGCGAAGUGGCAGAGGUCGCUGAGGCGGCGGAGUCGCGAUCGGGCCGCCAUCUCGGGGAAGGAAAAGAGGGGACAGACACCGCCUUUCCUCCGGUCGUUGUGCGGCCUGACGAGCCCAAUCCCCCGUCGGCAACUCGACGCCAGGGCCAGGUUCGCGACCGUCGCCAUCAUGGGACCAGGUACUGUGCGACGCCAGAGCCUGAUAGGAGCUGAUCUUCUGCAGAAAUAUCCUAUCCAAUCCCACCCCCACCCACACACACAAUAUUAAGAUCCUUUCACUCCGAAAUGCCUCCCUUUGAAUACCUUGUCUGAAAAAUGUAUCAUAUCAGCUUCCUUAAAUACACAUGCUCAACUCAAAUCCAGUGUGGCAUGCUUUCUGUAAAAUAAGUUCACAGACAGUACAACCACUAACUUCUCCAUAUACAGUAAGGACUUAUUACAAUGUUGUGAUUGCUGAAAUAAUUCAUGUAGAGUAAAAGUUGUCAUUGAAUAUCUAACGACCCUCUAAUGCCGUGAGGCUCAGGCCAUUCAUGGAUGACUCCGUGUUGUCACCGGCCUUUUCAGAACCCUGUGGUGAAAAAUAUACAGGUUGUUUUGGUGCUGGAAGUGGUGUUGAUUCAUUCUCCAACAUGAACACAACGGUUGACAUGAGCGGCCUACAGUUGGGACUGUCUUGAACACACAAAAGUCCUAUGUGGACGCAUCUUGAAACCUCGUGGAGGGAACAAUUAUCCAUAACAGUUGAGUCCAAGAAAUCCUCUGUUUUGCCAUCUUUCCACAACUUCCAUGCCUGAACAGAGACAAUUUCACAGUGAGCUCACUCCUAUUUUUUACUAUGGUUAGUUGUAGUUCUGAAUCAUGAGCAUCUCGUGAUACUUACAUAUGCUAUGAGGUUAGGAAAAUCCAUUAUAAGAUGUGGUGAGCUGAUCUUUAAUCCACUUACAAUCUCCAGUAGUAGAACACCGAAGCUGUAGGUGUCAGAUUUAACUGAAAAGAUGCCUUCCAUUGCAUAUUCACGGGACAUGUAGCCACUGUGCAAAUUAUUUCCCUAUUAAGAUUUUCGUAGUUUUGAAAACUGCAAGCAUUGAGAAUUGGUACUGGGAGUUACUUACUAUGUCCCUACAACUCGAUUUGUAUUUGCUUGGAUCUGCUCACCACAAAAUAUCCUAGCCAUGCCAAAAUCUGAUAUCUUAGGGAUCAUCUCUUUAUCUAGCAAAAUGUUGCUUGCUUUCAGAUCUCUAUGGAUUAUUGUUAAUCUUGAAUCUUGGUGGAGGUAAAGAAUUCCUCUAGCAAUUCCUUGAAUUAUCUUACGCCUUGUCGGCCAUUGAAGCAGCGGUUUUCUUGAAGAGUCUAGUAAGUGUAGCAUGAAAAAGGACAUAUUACGAGGCAUAUACGGACAUAUUUAUUUGUUGGGUUCUAGGAUUAUUCACAGUAUGAAAAAAAUUCUAUAUUGAAGUUUACCAAAGAGGAAGUAAUCCAAGCUUUUGUUGGGUAAGUAUUCGUAAACUAGCAACCUUUCAUCUUCAUGAAUACAGCAACCAAGGAGCUUAACUAGGUUCUUGUGCUGCAAUUUGGCUAUCAAGAUUACUUCAUUUCUGAACUCAUGUGUUCCUUGUCCAGAUCCCUUACUAAGUCUCUUGAUGGCUACUUCAUUUGCACCUUCCAACAUUCCCUACAGGAGUUCACCACCUAGUAUCACAAAAAAAAAUUAAUGCAAUUAUCAAGGUAAAAUAGUUCACCAUCUUUACCUUGUAAACUUUGCCAAAGCCUCCCUUCCCAAGCAUAUUUGAGUCGGAGAAAUUGUCCGUGGCCAAAACAAUGUCUUCAAAACUAAUAAAUGGAAACUCUAUGUUCUUAUCCCCAGCUUCAUCCGUAGACCUCAAAUAUUCUAGCAUCAUUCUCUUCUGGGCUUUCUUCUUUUUCUGUGUGCCUGCCAAUAUAUAUAUUGAUGGACUCUCCUAUCAGCUCUUACACAAUGGCAUAACGUUUUGGAAUCACGGUUUUUUUUUUCUGGCUACCUCUGUAUUUGCAUGUCCAGAUCAGGGCUGUGAAUACGAGUAGCAGCACAUAUACUAGAACCGGGAGUAAAAUCUUCAGUAAAUUGCUCUUCUUUUGAACUGCACGUGGAAAUGUAUGCAAUCAGAAUUUACUGCAUCAAGCAUAUCUUGCAGUAGUUUGAGUUCAUUCUCUAUUGAACUUUCUUCUUUUGCAGUUUGCCUGAAUAGAAACAUCAAUGGAUUCCUUUUUUUCCCUCAUCACUUACACACAUUAAUAUAUUUUUUUUUAAAACGAGGGUUCUUUUCUAUGUACCUACGCUUUUACAUAUCCGGACAAGGGCUACCAAUGCGAAUAGCAUAAGACAUGCUAUAAUUGGGAGUAAAAUCUUCAGCAAAUUGCUCUUCUUUUGAACUGUACAUGGAAGUGUAUCCCGUUAGAAUUCACUGCAUCAAGGAUUGCUCGCAGUUGUGUGAGUUUCCUUUGUAGGGGUUCUAUGACUGAUCAAUGAAUACUUUACCUCUAAAAAGAUGGACCUGUGAAUAUUCAAGAACCUAUUACGACUUACGAUUGCCUCACGGACAGUACUGAUUGGGUUUUUUGAUAUCAUGGCAUUCAGUCAGUUUUUUUAAAACGAACUAUGUAGGAGAGUUGCCAAUUAUAUUAAAAAGAAGAUGAAACCCAAACUGGGCAUAAUACAACAAAUGGAAAAAAAACAACACCAGCAAAAUGGAUUGGGGCGUCAGCUUGAAUGCUCAUACAAAUUUUGCUGCUGCAAACGAAAGUGAAUCUGGUAGUUGUUAAACUUCUUGUUUUUCUUUGGGCUACUUCAGCACAUGUUAGGAGAUAUGGUAUGGUGUAUGGUUUAUUUGAUGCCAAAUCUUGUUUUGUUUUAAAAUCCAUUAAGGACUUGAACAAAUUUGAAAUAAAUCCAGAAUUGUUCGUCUUACUAGGAUCUUACUAGUAGCCUUUGAGCGAGCACUACCUUCACAUCCAGGAAAGAAGGAUGAAGCGUACCAGGGGAUUCACCUAGCCGGAUGUACAAAUUCUCUGCAAUAAAGCUGGCCUUCUGCAUGUCGAUGAGAUCCCCUGUCCAAACCAAACACCUCGAUGUGUCGCCCGUAGUGCCAGCAUUGCUUAGGUUGGCGUAGGCAUAUGCCACACACGAGCAAUUCCUUGUGCACUCGGAUGCACACUGGUCGAAGCUUCUAUUCCUAAUGUGCAAGAACUUGUCAGGGACCUUCAUAUUAGGCAUGGUUGUGAAAUAGCUCUCCUUUCCACAUUUUAUCGCUUCCUUUCUCCGGCAUCCUCUCGAGAAGUUGAGCUGGUUGACAACCUCGAAACCGUCAGGGCAGUGGCAUGUCGGGAUUGCCUCCGUGAGGUCGCAAAAGCCGAAUGGGCCACAAGAGGCAUAGAGAUCACAAUCAGCCGUCGGACGCUCAAAGAUGACUGCCCAUGACGAUGCGGCGCUGCUCCAACUAAACAACCUCAACUUGCCUGUGUAGUCUAAUGAAAAACGCAUGUAGGGUGAGCCAGGUGAGACUGUGUACUUACAGUAUAGCUCGUCCCUUGUGCUGAUCAUCUCUUCGUACAUGAUGAUGGAGCUACCGUUGAUCUGGUAUGUGCCACCAGAUACUGAAACACCAUUAACAAUAGAGAAACGGAUGUACGGCAAAGUCCUGUUCCAAAUGAACAUCUCAAGGUUCAAGGUGGGAUCCAAGCCGCAAGAGAUAUCACCGGUUGAUGGAUCAUCAGGGCCCUUCCAAGCAAAGAAGCGUGUUGCCGCCGGCGGUGCUUUGUAUCUCAGGAUAAACCUCAUGGUUGGAAGAAUUGUGUCGGUCGGGUG